rnacentral:rRNA from 1 species
GAUGAACGCUGGCGGCGUGCCUAAUACAUGCAAGUCGAGCGAACAGACGAGGAGCUUGCUCCUCUGACGUUAGCGGCGGACGGGUGAGUAACACGUGGAUAACCUACCUAUAAGACUGGGAUAACUUCGGGAAACCGGAGCUAAUACCGGAUAAUAUAUUGAACCGCAUGGUUCAAUAGUGAAAGACGGUUUUGCUGUCACUUAUAGAUGGAUCCGCGCCGCAUUAGCUAGUUGGUAAGGUAACGGCUUACCAAGGCAACGAUGCGUAGCCGACCUGAGAGGGUGAUCGGCCACACUGGAACUGAGGCACGGUCCAGACUCCUACGGGAGGCAGCAGUAGGGAAUCUUCCGCAAUGGGCGAAAGCCUGACGGAGCAACGCCGCGUGAGUGAUGAAGGUCUUCGGAUCGUAAAACUCUGUUAUUAGGGAAGAACAACUGUGUAAGUAACUAUGCACGUCUUGACGGUACCUAAUCAGAAAGCCACGGCUAACUACGUG